GAUGAACGCUGGCGGCGUGCCUAACACAUGCAAGUCGAGCGAUUCUCCUCGGAGAAGAGCGGCGGACGGGUGAGUAACGCGUGGGUAACCUGCCCUGUACACACGGAUAACAUACCGAAAGGUAUGCUAAUACGAGAUAAUAUGCUUUUAUCGCAUGGUAGAAGUAUCAAAGCUCCGGCGGUACAGGAUGGACCCGCGUCUGAUUAGCUAGUUGGUAAGGUAACGGCUUACCAAGGCGACGAUCAGUAGCCGACCUGAGAGGGUGAUCGGCCACAUUGGAACUGAGACACGGCCCAGACUCCUACGGGAGGCAGCAGUGAGGAAUUUUGCGCAAUGGGGGAAACCCUGACGCAGCGACGCCGCGUGGAGGAUGAAGGCCUUCGGGUCGUAAACUCCUGUCAGAGGUGAAGAAUGCCCGCAAGGGUUGACGGUAACCUCAGAGGAAGCCCCGGCUAACUCCGUG
rnacentral:rRNA from 1 species